rnacentral:rRNA from 1 species
AUGAACAUUCAUGGCUCAUACCCCUCACCGGCACCCAUGGCCGCAGGAGCCCUGUCAUGGUCCUCACCACCGCCAGCCAUCAUCAAGCCGAACAUUGGCAUUUGGGAGUGUAGACCCCCAGAACAUCCACGGCUAGUACAAUUAGCAGAUGACUUUGCCAAGGUGUUACAGAAUGUGCCAGGUACACUUGUUGCAACAAAUACACUCGCGGACAUGUUGAGAAUGAACCUUAAUGUUCAGUUUUGGUUUUGGCGUUGGAUAUUGGACAAGGGGCUAAGAUACAUUAAAAGAAACCUCUCCGCAUGUGGUGUGCACUCAAGCAUGCCUAUAGACCAAGACCAUCCAGUCGACAUAACGGACUAUGCUUUGAUCCACUUAGCAUGA